UACGUAGGGUCCGAGCGUUGUCCGGAUUUAUUGGGCGUAAAGGGCACGCAGGCGGUCUUGUCAGUUUCGAGUGACAGGUGGUGGCUUAACUGCCACAGGCCUCGAAAGACGGCAAGACUUGAGGCUUGAGAGGGACGCGGAAUUCCAGGUGGAGCGGUGAAAUGCGUAGAGAUCUGGAAGAACACCAAAGGCGAAGGCAGCGUCCUGGCAAGUUCCUGACGCUCAGGUGCGAAAGCUAGGGAGCGAACG
rnacentral:rRNA from 1 species